GAUGAACGCUGGCGGCAUGCCUAAUACAUGCAAGUCGAGCGAACAGAUGAAGUGCUUGCACUUCUGACGUUAGCGGCGAACGGGUGAGUAACACGUAAGGAAUCUACCUAUAAGCGGGGGAUAACAUUCGGAAACGGGUGCUAAUACCGCAUAAUAUCUUCUUCCGCACGGAAGAAGAUUGAAAGACGGCUCUGCUGUCACUUAUAGAUGACCUUGCGGUGCAUUAGUUAGUUGGUGGGGUAAUGGCCUACCAAGACGAUGAUGCAUAGCCGACCUGAGAGGGUGAUCGGCCACAUUGGGACUGAGACACGGCCCAAACUCCUACGGGAGGCAGCAGUAGGGAAUCUUCCGCAAUGGGCGAAAGCCUGACGGAGCAAUGCCGCGUGAGUGAAGAAGGCCUUCGGGUCGUAAAACUCUGUUAUAAGAGAAGAACAAAUUGUAGAGUAACUGCUACAGUCUUGACGGUAUCUUAUCAGAAAGCCACGGCUAACUACGUGCCAGCCGCCGCGGUAA
rnacentral:rRNA from 1 species